AAGUAGAUCCGUUCAAUACGUUUUUUCCAUUUAAGAACGAAAAGAGAGGAAAUUGAAGUGUAUUUAAAGUUUUGAUAAUCCCGAUGCAGUUUACAUCGAUUAAUCAUUAUCAUGUCAUUGCUUCAAAGCAACAAAGAAUUAUUUUAGGCACCAAAAUUUUCAAAGAAUUUUUCAAAUACUUUAAAUUUUAUGACUAUCCCUUCAUUUAAGUUAAAAUUUAUUUUCGUUAUAUAGAACGUCUCACUCUUAAGACAUGGAUAGCAAUGUUGCACGCAAUGGCAGACUUAUUGAUAUUGUUGACAGCACAUGGCGAGAAGAAAAGUUACCUGAUGAACCUAUUGCCGUCCCUGCUUCAGAACUUCCAGAUCCUGAACCUGAUAAUGGAAAUCCACAAGAAACAUUGAGAGAACAAGAACAAAAAUGGACCGAUUUAGCUUUAAAUAAAAUACAUAAAGUUACUCCAACUGUAACAACAUCUUAAAAUAACAUUUUUAUGGUAAAUUUUUGUAUAAUGCAAGAUUUAUUGUAUUGCCUCAUUAACUAUUGUAUAGCCUAGUAAAUUUUUAAUUUGUAUUCAGUCAUUUUAAUUUGAUAUACAUGCAUUUAAAUAUUUCAAUUUUUUCUAUGUUCAAUAAAACAUCCACCAUCCA